ensembl:lncRNA
UGUCUAUCACUGCAAGGCUAUGACUAGCUCAAAUCAGGUUUCCUUGUCCUCAUGUCAAUGUGAAUCUGCAUGUUUAUAAGCAUGGCUGUUUGAGACACGGAGGAAGAAAAUGGCCUAAUGGAUCCAUGUAAAUGAAGAUGGAGAGUAAAUAGACGUGGAAAUUUUGAAAUUGGGCUGGCAUGCUAAUCAGAGGCAGACGGGAGACACCAAUCAGUCUUCCAGGACGGAGACCGGGCACAUCCAAUGGCACUUCUUAUUUCCAUUCUCCACGCUCGUAAAUCCUGUCAACUCCCUCACACACAGACAGCGGCUGCAUUUCACGCUGUUCUCUGAGCCACAAUCAGCAGAGCUACAGUCUCUGUGGCUGGAGGAGAGGAGAGAGGGAAUGAGACAGAGGGAGAGAGAUUUAUGUUUUUUUUUUUAAUUUGGAUCCCCAUUAGCUGUUAAAGAAGCAGCAGCUAUUCUUCCUGGCAUCUACACAAAACAUAGGACAAAAUACAGAACACUAAUGGACUUGAGGUAUGGUUUUUAAAACUGAUUUUAUUGCUUGCCUGAGUUACCUGAGGUGGAAGAGAAUUCCAUGUAGCCAUUGCUCUAUACAGUACUGUGUGUCUCCCAGCCUCUGUUCUGGACUUGGAGACUGUGAAGAGACCCUUGAUUGCGUAUCUUGUGGAGUAUGUAUAGGGUUUUGAAUUGUGAUAACUGUCUGAACAGUCUAUUCGGUACUGUCAGCACGUCAAUACUUCUUACAAAGACCAGCAGUGAUUCAGUCAAUCUCUCCUCCACUCCGAACAAAGAGAGACAUACGUGCAUGUUAUUGAAAUUGGCAAUUCAUGUACAUUUGAUGGCCAGACGUGCUGCUCGGUUCUGGGUCAGCUGCAGCUUUUCUAGGAAAACAGCUGCAGUGCAGCAAGGCAGUUUGAUGGCACUGGGUCUGACUCCCAUCAUGGUAUUACAGUCACAUGGUAUCACUCUGCACAAAACCAAUAUCAGCAUCAACAGCACUUUGGCUAUACCGUAAACCAUUCUCUCUGCAACUCCUCUGAUUCCUCACGAGGCCAAGACUAACACACACACACUCUACUCUACUCUACUCUGGAGUGGCACAUUUGGAGUGGCUGACCAGCGAGGAGCAGAGAAGUGUUAAUGCUGUCGGGGAGGAGAAAGGCUGAGCCCUGAGUGGUUUGUUGUCUCCCUCUGUGAAUUACACAUUCUGUUGACAGUAGAUGGGAUUCUGCCAUCUGAAGAAUUACAGCUGUACAUAGGGAUGUCAAGUGCCACUCAGCGAGGAGUCUCCACUAUGAUUGCAAUCAAUAUCGGUUAAAGUGGAGGUUAACAGCACAGUGACUGUCAGUAGUUUCAGCUGGUUGGUUAUUGGCAUCGUAUCUGUGAACUAUUGACACAUAAUUUCCCUUCCCACAGAUUCCCUCCGAGAGGCUCUUAGUAACUUGAAGCAGAUAACACAAAAGUUCAAUUUCAAUCAAAAGUACUGCAAAGCAACACAAAAUAUAUAAGUAGUUUACGCUUUUUGCUUUCAAAUAAACAACUAUUUCCACAAAGAAAGCAAAGAGAAUUAGAGAAACCUAGGAGAUUCUGCAAAAAUAUGAGCAAGGAAGAUAUCAGCAACCCAAAACUGAUUCAGAUUGCUACCAUAUAAAGGACAAAACUAUAAGAAUAGCUGUAAAUAUAGUUGUUUCUGGGGAAUUUGUAAGGGAAAAUACAUCCAAAGCGUUCCUUAUAAUUUGGUCAAUAUAUCCCAACCACAACUGAAAUAACAAUUUCUGUAUUACUUGAAACUGUUGGUCAGUUCAGAAAGUAACCACGCCUGGCAAUUUUAUGCAGAACCACUGUAUGAAAGUCAGUUCUGGAUCUGUUCAGUUCGAUUGAACGUUUCUACAUUGUAUAAUGUCUUGUACUGAACAACACAUUACCCCAAAACACUUUUCAACAUUCUUGAACAGACUUUGAGGUAGCUUACGUUUGCUCCAUUUGGUGGGUGUGGCGGGGUGUGGCUUGAAGCAAUGAGUGGCGUACUUGAAGCGCAGCGGUACAUUUUGAACCCACAACCCACCCCUCCCCAUUUUUCAACUGGUCAUUCAACAGCACUGUUUCAAUUUAAUUUAACCUUGCAUUACAUUUUUUCGUACUGAACGCAGCCCUGGUGACUUUUCUACUCCAAAAUGUAUGGUGGCAUCAUUCAAAUAUAAUUUUCCCCUCCAAAAAAUGUUCCUAACUGAUUUAGUUUAGUAGCUAUAACUAAAUAGGCUGAAGCAUCGGGUUGCCCAUCUGUAUUUGUGCUAAUCAUUAGCUAGAUCAAUGCAUCUCAAACUUUUUCAGUCAUGGCCACCUUUCAUCAUGGGGGAACAUUCUAUGUCCCCUCACCUCCCUCAAUUAAAUGAACUGCAACUAUUGUUACACAAAAAUAAAUUAUAAGAAUACCUUUUAUUCAUCAAAAAACAGUAUAUACAAACACCAGUAUCUGGUUUCUCUUCCAUAUUGAACUAAAAACAACUAUUAAUGAAGGAGAAAUAAACCUGCUUAUUGCUGUGCAAUAUCACAUCCAUCUCUAUCAAUAAAGACUAUUGUCAUGACUCUUCUAUGAUGAUCCAAAAGAUCAGAUUGCAGUGGAUCAGCUCUACAGAGUUAUAUCUCGCACAGAGGGGGGAGGGAUGGAUGUGGGGGUUUUAUGACACUUCACGUCGGUCAUAAACCAUUGGCAGCUGACAAUUCCUUUUGGGGUCUAGUUUGGGUGAUUGGAAUGUCUGUGUGCCUUAUGAAGAGUUUGCUGCCCAAAAACUACAACAUCAAACAAUGGACACUGGAACAACAUAUUUCAACAUCUUAAUUUCAUUAAAAAAUUAAUGGCUGUACACCACCAUGGUACAAAGAUUGUCUUAGGGUCAUUUUUGACCCGGCAGUUAUAAAAUCAUUUACACACCACACACACACCACACACACACACACACACACAAUGAUAAAUUGAGAUUGUGUGAUACUGACUGAACUCAGACAAAACAAAAAUAUUGUGCAUGUGCAGCAUCUCCCCUCAACUACCCCACAUGACUCAAGUUCACAGACGAAAUAAAAAACAUUUUAGACAAAAUAAAAACAAUUUCAGACAAAAUAAACAUUUCUUGAAAGCAUUGUUUACAAAUGGGGAAUGGAAUCAGAGGCUAUGCACUCCUCUCAACAAGGGGGAGAGAGGCCUUCUCAUCAAAGUUUGCCUUCACCCCCACCACCACUCUAGUUUCUUACCUCCCAAAGAGGAACAGGAAUGUGGUCCCCCCCAUGCACACUGCACAAAAUGGCUGAGAUCAGUAUACAUGAGGACAGGAAGCCAGCCAUCAUCCUGGACUACAACCACAACAAAGGAGGCGUGGAAAACCUGGACAAGGUGAUUGGAACUUAGAGCUGCAGGAGGAUUACUGCCUGCUGGCCCCUGGUCAUCUUCCAUAACAUCAUUAAUGUGUCCUCAUACAAUGCCUUUGUGAUAUGGAACAAGAUCAACCCUACCUGGAUGCCUGAUAAGCGGAACAAGAGGAGGGUGUUCUUGGAGCAGCUGGGAAAGGCACUUGUAACCCCAAACAUUCAAAGAAGGGAGCGCCUCCCCCGCACAGCAACUUCUGCAGCGCUUGUGAAAGCUGUUCAGGGGGCUGUAUCUUGUCCUGAUCCACCGGAGGCUACAGCUGGGACAGGCAAGAGGAGGAGAUGACAAUAAUGCCUGCCAAAGAAUAACUGUAAAACAAAUACUAUGUGCUGCACAUGUGAGAAAUACAUCAGCAAAGUCCAUGGACACACACUUGCAAACUGUCCUACAUGUGCUAAUUAGAGUUGAUUGAUUUAUGUUCUUCACAUUUUUGUUUUGUAUCUAUUAUCUUAUUAUAUUCUUAUGUAUUGUUGUUGUUUAUAGACCUUGUGGGUGGGGGCAAUUGUUAAAAAAUGGGAGAAGACUUGUAUUUUGUAGUUGAAUUCCUCAUUGUACAGUAUAUAGAAUAUAUCACUAUGUUGCCAAAACAGUUCAAGACUGUUAUUGUUCUCCUUAAAUAAAAUGCAUUCAAACUA